rnacentral:rRNA from 1 species
GAUCCUGGCUCAGGAUGAACGCUAGCGGCAGGCUUAACACAUGCAAGUCGAGGGGUAUAGGUUUUCGGAUCUAGAGACCGGCGCACGGGUGCGUAACGCGUAUGCAAUCUACCUUUUACAGAGGGAUAGCCCAGAGAAAUUUGGAUUAAUACCUCAUAGUAUUAUGAAAUGGCAUCAUUUUAUAAUUAAAGUCACAACGGUAAAAGAUGAGCAUGCGUCCCAUUAGCUAGUUGGUAAGGUAACGG